UGCAAGUCGAACGGUAGCACAGAGAGCUUGCUCUCGGGUGACGAGUGGCGGACGGGUGAGUAAUGUCUGGGAAACUGCCUGAUGGAGGGGGAUAACUACUGGAAACGGUAGCUAAUACCGCAUAACGUCGCAAGACCAAAGAGGGGGACCUUCGGGCCUCUUGCCAUCAGAUGUGCCCAGAUGGGAUUAGCUAGUAGGUGGGGUAACGGCUCACCUAGGCGACGAUCCCUAGCUGGUCUGAGAGGAUGACCAGCCACACUGGAACUGAGACACGGUCCAGACUCCUACGGGAGGCAGCAGUGGGGAAUAUUGCACAAUGGGCGCAAGCCUGAUGCAGCCAUGCCGCGUGUAUGAAGAAGGCCUUCGGGUUGUAAAGUACUUUCAGCGGGGAGGAAGGUGUUGUGGUUAAUAACCGCAGCAAUUG
rnacentral:rRNA from 1 species